rnacentral:rRNA from 1 species
AGCAGUAGCCGCGGGAACACGAGGGGUGCAAGCGUUAUUCGGAUUGAUUGGGUGUAAAGGGUGUGCAGACGGCUUAUUAAGUCACUUGUUAAAUUCUUCGGCCUAACUGAAGGUCUGCAAGUGAUACUGAUGAGCUAGAGGGUGGAAGAGAGAAGUGGAAUUCCACGUGUAGCGGUGAAAUGCGUAGAGAUGUGGAGGAACACCAGUGGCGAAGGCGACUCUCUGGUCUGUAACUGACGCUGAGGAGCGAAAGCGUGGGGAGCGAACAGGAUUAGAUACCCGGUAGUCCCUGUCUCUUAUACA